rnacentral:rRNA from 1 species
GAAAUCGGGAUUAAUACUCCAUAACAUUAUGAAGAGGCAUCUCUUUAUAAUUAAAGCUCAGGCAGUUUUAGAUGGGCAUGCGUGACAUUAGCUUGUUGGUGAGGUGACGGCUCACCAAGGCUACGAUGUCUAGGGGUUCUGAGAGGAUUAUCCCCCACACUGGUACUGAGACACGGACCAGACUCCUACGGGAGGCAGCAGUAAGGAAUAUUGGGCAAUGGACGCAAGUCUGACCCAGCCAUGCCGCGUGAAGGAUGACGGCCCUAUGGGUUGUAAACUUCUUUUGUACGGGAAAAAACCCCUGGUCGUGUACCGGGGCUGAUGGUACCGUAAGAAUAAGCAUCGGCUAACUCCGUGCCAGCAGCCGCGGUAAUACGGAGGAUGCAAGCGUUAUCCGGAUUCAUUGGGUUUAAAGGGUGCGUAGGCGGGAUAAUAAGUCAGUGGUGAAAUCCUACAGCUUAACUGUAGAACUGCCAUUGAUACUGUUAACCUUGAGUACAUUUGAAGUGGGGCGGAAUGUGUCAUGUAGCGGUGAAAUGCUUA